rnacentral:lncRNA from 1 species
AAAAAAAAAAAAAAAAAAGAAUCAAAGCUUUAAAAUCCAGCAGAAGUAAAAUUUCCAAGUGGGAGGGAAGAGGAUCAACAGGAGAAUCUGCAAGAGUAAAAGAGGAAGAAGAUGUGUGCUGCAUGGCACAAAAUGAAUCUGCAAAGCAUCUGGGAACUGCAGACCCUACUGAUGCCUGGAACUCACUGGAGUCAGCAUGUCCAGGCAGUCAUUGUAGCAAGUCAGAGUGGUGUGAUGAAAUGCUUCAGGAGAAAAACAUUUCACCACAGCCUGGUUCACUCAGAUACCUUGCCAGGGAACCAACAUCUCACUCGGGCCUCUGAUAUUGUAACUGUGGGCCUUUAAGAAACAACGGAAAACCCAACUGAAUAAAAACUGACCUCCUUUGUGGCUGCCCUGAUGGAAGGGGCUCAGGAGCAACAGCCUUCAUGGUGCCCACCCUCUGGGCCAGAACAACGGAUGCCCCACAACUGAGUUUAGUGCCUCCAAGAACCACAGCUUUUUUUUGCAGCAGUAAGAGCAUACCUCUGAGGCACUGUGAAGAAUCUGAUAGUCGAACUGAAUGAAGCCAAGUCCAGUCUUUACGGAAAAAUUUACACAACACUUCCAGGUUGGAGUGCAAUGGCGUGAUCUUGG